rnacentral:miRNA from 1 species
UAGCCGUUAGCGCUCAUUAACU